CGGAGAACCAUCAGGCCAACAUCUGCUCCAGCAAAGAGGCAGUUAGCAGCCCUUGAAGAAAACUCAUUUUUGCUCUAUUGUGAUUGAGUCUUCCAGAGAAAUCUGUUUUGUAACUGAAAGCUGAUAAAUUAAAGCUGGCUGUGGAUGAAGCCAUUGAAAGCUGCUGACCCCAAACAAUUUUGCUCUAAAGAAACAAAACAGAACACUUAAAUUGAUGAGAGCAGAGCAGCUCUCAGAAAGCAGCUCUCAGAGAGGUCUGACGGGAGGGAGAGCUGGGCAGGACGGCCUAGCCCUGAGCAGGCCACCACGCAUGCACGUGUCCAGGAGCUGUGACCCAGACCCGCGUCCCAGGACAGACUGGAGGUGGAGGCAGAAAUGAGUGCUCACGGACACCUGCUCUAAGGAUGAGAGCAGAGGUUGAUGGGAAGUAGGCCACAGAACAGACCCCCAACUGGACACAACUGAGGCAGCCAGACUCAACCUCCAGGCCCUGCCCCUGAACUGCUGAAAUCAUGUGGAGAAGAAAGUUAGACAAGUGGGGCCAUGUAAGGGCCUGACCUGGACUGAACUUUGAGAUCUCCCAGGAUGUGGUGGACCCCUGGCAAAGACACAGAUGAGGAAGCUGAGGACCUGAGAGGAUAAGCCGAGACUUCUUUGAGUAUGGAUUCUAGAAGCAUCAGAAGCCUAAAUUCACCAGGCUCCUUUCAGCGUCCGUAAACUGGAUAGAUUCCCAUUGUGAGGCAACCACCAAGAGCCUGAAAACGUAGUACCGGCUGACGGAGGGUUACAUUGUACAGCAAGCGAAGGGAGUCAAAUCAAGGAAGAAGAGCUAACGGACUUCACUUGUGCCAGGCACCGUAGCUCUUUGUAUGUCUUCCCUCAUUUGAACCUCACAAGGGUCUUCUGAGCUGUGCUUGGCAUUUGCCACGCGGAGGUUGGCGUGGGGACGCGUACCGUGGAGACACUGAGACCAGAUGCCUGAAUUGAACAGGUCUAUGGCUCAUUUGAGGAGAACGAGGACAAGUCGCAACAAACAAAACAAGGCAAGAGAGAGCGAGAGCGGUUGGGGAAGCAGCCACCAACUCUCACUCCAGACGAAAGCUGCUUCAGAGGGAGGUAUCUGAUGCACAACUCUUCGCAAGCAGGUGGUGUGAGUACUCACUGACUUGUUGAGUUUCAAGCAGAGGACACGCGCCCUUCUGAGAAGGUCAGAUAAUCUUUCAGAAAGGAGCUAGGCUUCAAGAAGAGAGAACCCCAGGCCAGAAGAAAGACACUGGCAAAGGCACAAUUAAAUUUAAAGCACAAGCCUUUGAGUAGGAGCAAAGAUGUGGGCACAGCAUUCUGUUUUGACCUACCCUGUCCAAUAUGGUAGCCACUGGCCACGUGUGACCACUGAGCACUUUAAAUGAGGCUAGUGUGACAUGACAUAUGCUGUAAGUGUAAAAUACAUGGCUGGUAGUUCUAAGACUUAGUACCAAAAAAAUGUAUGUCUCACUAUGUUUUAUAUUGGUUAUAUAUUGAAAUUAUAUUUUUGGUAUAUUGGGUUAAAAUAAUUAUUAUCAUUAAUUUCACCAGUCU